AUACUUACCUGGACGGGGUUAAUGGGUGAUCAUGAAGACUCAUGUCCUAGGGAGGUGGCCUGCAUUGCACUUGGAAGGUGCAUCUGCCUAAGGUCUCCUCAAGUAGGAGAGUCUACGUCAUAAUUUGUGCUAGUGGGGGCCUGCGUUCGCGCGGCCCCUAU